rnacentral:rRNA from 1 species
AUUGAACGCUGGCGGCAGGCCUAACACAUGCAAGUCGAACGAGCGGCGGACGGGUGAGUAAUGUCUGGGAAACUGCCUGAUGUAGGGGGAUAACUACUGGAAACGGUAGCUAAUACCGCAUACCAUCGGAUGUGCCCAGAUGGGAUUAGCUAGUAGGUGGGGUAAAGGCUCACCUAGGCGACGAUCUCUAGCUGGUCUGAGAGGAGUACCAGCCACACGGGGACUGAGACACGGCCCAGACUCCUACGGGAGGCAGCAGUGGGGAAUAUUGCACAAUGGGCGCAAGCCUGAUGCAGCCAUGCCGCGUGUAUGAAGAAGGCCUUCGGGUUGUAAAGUACUUUCAGCGGGGAGGCGUUACCCGCAGAAGAAGCACCGGCUAACUCCGUGCCAGCAGCCGCGGUAAUUC